rnacentral:tRNA from 1 species
UGCAAGGUAGUUUAGAUGGGAAAAAGAACGAUGGGUUGUGAUCCUAUAGGGGGAUGUGAGGCCUCUUGCAUC